AACGAACGCUGGCGGCAUGCCUAACACAUGCCAGUCGAACGAGACCUUCGGGUCUAGUGGCGCACGGGUGCGUAACGCGUGGGAACCUGCCCUUAGGUUCGGAAUAACUCCCCGAAAGGGGUGCUAAUACCGGAUAAUGUCUUCGGACCAAAGAUUUAUCGCCUUUGGAUGGGCCCGCGUUGGAUUAGCUAGUUGGUAGGGUAAAAGCCUACCAAGGCGACGAUCCAUAGCUGGUCUGAGAGGAUGAUCAGCCACACUGGGACUGAGACACGGCCCAGACUCAUACGGGAGGCAGCAGUGGGGAAUAUUGGACAAUGGGCGAAAGCCUGAUCCAGCAAUGCCGCGUGAGUGAUGAAGGCCUUAGGGUUGUAAAGCUCUUUUACCCGGGAUGAUAAUGACAGUACCGGGAGAAUAAGCUCCGGCUAACUCCGUG
rnacentral:rRNA from 1 species